AACAAUAAAGAAAACAUCACUUGUUCCUCUUUCUAGAGAGACGGCCACCAAACUCAUCGCUCGGCGUCGCUGCCACCACCAACGCGGACAAAUCCCAUCACCCGUUACCCUUCUUCGUCUCUAGACCUCUCCUCUCCAGUGCCAUCCAAGUCCAUCACUAGCGUGCCACCAAGCAUGUCGCUCAUCCCUCGCCGUCGUUGCCGCUACCGAAGCUAACACACCCAUCAUCUGUUGCCCUUCGUCUCUAAACUUCUCCUCUCCGACAUCAUCUAAAUCCAUCACCAGCGUGCCACCAUGGUUGUCGCUCAUUGCUCACCGUUAAUGCCACCACCGACAUCGACGAACCUCUCCAUACAUACUGUCACUCCUUCACCUCUUCGUGUAGCUGAAUCUCGCCACGCCAUAGUAGGUUUCUGGCCUCCGGCUCUCCCCAUCGCCCUCGCAAUCACCCUAACACCAUGGCCAUUUCUUCCUGGUGACUGUGAAUUCUGGAGGUGUUGUUUUCUUUGCUUUUUUUAACACCAUGAGUAGUGAUGAUCUCUUGCAAAAUGAAGCUGUGGUGGUGAUCAAAUUUUCAACUUCUCAAAUGGCCACGCAAUCGGAACGUCUCGGUUAUGAAUUUGCAAAAUGGCUUGGAGUGCACACACCUCAAGUGGAGUUAGUAUUAAUAUUUUGAAACUUGCCAUUUUGAUUUUCAUCAUUGUAUGAAUGUAUUGCUAUUGUGUGUGAAUUUUUUCAGGGCAAUUGAA